AAACGUUUUGGUAGUGAUUGUAAUAAGCACAAGUUUCAGCCAAAACGUUUUGCCUCAACAAUCAGUCUCCGAUUUCCCUCCUCUCUUACUAGCCGCUGAUGCCGCCUUUCAGAUCUCCAAUAACCCUCAAACCACCACCUAAAAACGUAAACAUAAGCCGCUUCAAAACCAGUGCAUACUUGCGUUGAGACUGAUUCCCUACAAUGUUCCAUCUCUUCUCUCCUCAUACAUCUCCACCAACGGCUUUGACUAUAUCCUUUCUCCACUGGUUCGUUUCUGAUCGAGUCUCA
rnacentral:lncRNA from 1 species